GGAAAUUGGGAAGCUCUUCCGUUAUCGGAGCAGCAACUAGAUUAUGCUGCCAUUGAUGCUUAUGUCUCUUGGUAUCUCUAUCAGGUGAUUAAGGAACUCCCGGAUCACCAACUAGCUGCUGUUGAGGGGAGAGUUGAAGAUAUAAAGCAACAAUGAAACGAAAUUGUUUGAUCAUCAUUACACAUUCCAUUCAGUAUUAAUUUAUAAACGUAUAGAAAAUAUCCCAUUUUGGAGACAUUUCUCAGCUAAUUGAAAUCGAAAUAGCCGUUACAUGUGGCUAUAUGUAUUUGUCUGUUCAGUUAAGAUCUCAUGUGAAUUACUUUUAUGGAAAGCAAAUAAUUUGGAAAAAAAUACCCA